UACGUAGGGGGCGAGCGUUGUCCGGAAUCAUUGGGCGUAAAGCACGUGUAGGCGGCCCGGUAAGUCCGCUGUGAAAGUCCAGGGCUCAACCCUGGGAUGCCGGUGGAUACUGUCGGGCUCGAGUCCGGAAGAGGCGAGUGGAAUUCCUGGUGUAGCGGUGAAAUGCGCAGAUAUCAGGAGGAACACCAAUGGCGAAGGCAGCUCGCUGGAACGGUACUGACGCUGAGGCGCGAAAGCGUGGGGAGCAAACAGG
rnacentral:rRNA from 1 species